CAAAUUAAUUUACGGAUAGAAUCUAAGUGCAGAAAGCACAUAGCUUACGAACGGGAGAGAAAAAAAUCAUUCUAAGUGCAACAAAUGAAAAUUAAAAGUUACUUCAUUAAAAUUUAUUUUUCCUGUAUUAAAUUUAGAGUGUAAUAACAUAAAAAGCAACCUUGUCAACAUAAAAUUCAAACACAAUCAUAACAAACGAGAAACGGACAUUGCGCGCCGAAGACGCACAGUUUGCCGCGGAAAAUUGCGGAAUUUCUCACGGUGCUCAAGAAAAUUAAUUUGCCGACCAAUUUGUUGAAGAUUUGCUCUACAACGUCGACCGCUUUUCCACCGUCUCCAAGGACGAAUAAUUUUGUUGGGAGUUGCCGGAAAAAGCUGCGACCGGGACGUGCUGUUCGACAGAGAACAGAUUGGUGGAAGCUCAACAGUUUCGAUCUUGGUUUCGAUUGUGGUGGUCAAGUGGUCAUCAAAGUAGAAGUUUCGGGAGAGCGUUUGCAGUGAUGACGCGGAGGCGUCGGAAGUAUACCACUAGAAUCGACUCUGAUGCGCUCGAUGCGUGCCCUUCGUCAAACCCGGAAAUGGAAAUCAAUCAUUGUAGCCCAUCGUUACUGAAACUGUUCCAACUGCAUUGGCCGUGGCAUUAGUGGAGCUCCUUGUUCCAUCAUGUUCGUCGGCCGUGGACAAUCGUUUGCGUUAGCAAAUGGCACUUGCGGUGUGAAAUGUCCAGCUGUGAACAUUGAAUGCAGCUUUAAUUCCCCGAAAACAGCAAGGACAUCAACGCAAUCGGUAGUUCCACCCAACCUACCCCACCCAAAGGACCCGAAAAAGUCACGAUGGACACGCGCUAAUGAUCAUCAUUAUUUGGCCCACGCGAUCUGGUACUACACCUGUGUACAAUGACAAAUAAAUAAAACUUAUUUUUUAACAACCAUAUUAUUCGAAAUUUUAAUUUGUUGUUAUUUCAAAACCAAUUCCUAAUGAAAAUAAUCUUAUUAUUCUUAUUAUUAGGAACUAUGUGCCUCACGAUUGAAAUCCCAUCAACAGGCUGUUAAAAAGCAAAAGGUUCGCACAUAAAAUGUAUCUUGACUGAGUUGGCAAAGUUUCGAUAAGCCUGCACUUAUAUUUCAAGUGCAAAAGCAAUUGGUCACAAUCUAAGUGCAGGAUACUUA